GAGCCGAGAUGGCGCCACUGCACUCCAGCCUGGGGACAGAGCGAGACUCCGUCUCAAAAAAAAAAAAAAAAAAAAUACAUUUAAUGUAAAGCCCUAAUCAGAGGCAACGUGUAAAAGCAGAGAAAGCCAGAUAUCUUGGAGUAGGGAGAAAAAAAGAACUUCCAACACUGUGUUGAAUAGGAGUGGUGAGAUUUUCCUGCUUUUUUCUAUGCCUGGAGGCUCCAGGAAUGAGUUUUCUGUGGUUGCUGGUAGCUUGAGGGUGAAAAAUGAAAACAGUGAAUCCCUCUGAAAAGAGUCAAACCAACAUCAACAGGCAGCACUGGAGUUAGAAAAUAUGACGCUUUUGGAGGCCUCACAUACUCCUAUCUUGAUCCAUCCAUUGAUACUAGUAUGGCAAGUAGGUGUGAGUGAAACUGACCUGUUUGGUCACACAUCUAGAAUUUUCUGAAAUUUGUCUCUGAAAAUGUCUCCUCAUCUGCCUUUGAGUGGUAUGGAAUCACUGCUGAGCCUCCACUAUUGGUGCCAUCAAAGACCUCAGUGAUGCCAAGUUUCUGGCAUCAUGCUAGGUUCUAAGGAUACAAAAAUGAAUGAGAUGCUAUCACCUGCUGUCAAGAAAUUCACAGCCUAGGGAGAGAGUGACAUAUGACCAGAGAGGGUCCAAUGUGGACAGAUAAUGAAGAAGGGAGUCAGCAGAGGAGAUUCUGAGAACACAAAGGAGAAGAGAGGCAGCAACCCAGCGUGGGUGGGGUGAGCUGAUCAGAGAAGGCCUCCUGGAGCAGUGCACCCAGAGCUGAUAUGGAGUUGGAAAGAUUAAAGGCUGGAUGGUGAUGAGCAGAUUUCAUCUUUCUGCCAAGAACAGAUUG
rnacentral:lncRNA from 10 species